ACUGCCAUAUUCUACUGUCCGCUGCGAGAUCUUGGCUGGAAUGUAAAAGGAAUAUCCAAAAUAUUUAAAUGACAAACAGGAUGGGAACUGAUUAUGAGGAAUAUGCUGAAACAGACAUCUGGCAUAUUCCUAUAAUCAGUAUCAUGGCCUUUGUAUACAACAAAAUUGAUUGGAACUCCUAGACUAGAAAUAUAAUUCAAGAUUUAAAUAAGGCACUGGUCAUAGUUUUAGAAAGUGUGGCUAGCAUUCUGAAGGAAGACAGAGAGAUGGGAAGACAUCAAAGAAUGGACAGGUCUGCCAUGAAAUGGUUUAUCCAGGGCUAAGUACAGAGAGGAAUAUAGAAGGGCUGUUGACAGAUCUUGUGUGGUGCCCUCAAGGUUCAACAGACUGA